UACAGAGGGCUCAAGCGUUGUUCGGAUUCAUUGGGCGUAAAGGGUGCGUAGGCGGCGCGGUAAGUCGGGUGUGAAAUCUCGGAGCUUAACUCCGAAAUUGCAUUCGAUACUGCCGUGCUUGAGGACUGGAGAGGAGACUGGAAUUCAUGGUGUAGCAGUGAAAUGCGUAGAGAUCAUGAGGAAGACCAGUGGCGAAGGCGGGUCUCUGGACAGUUCCUGACACUGAGGCACGAAGGCCAGGGGAGCAAACGGG
rnacentral:rRNA from 1 species